GGCGGAAGCAGGUUCCGUGCGGGCCCUACAGCAGCAUCCAAGCCCCUGUCCUCUCGGCACCUGAGUUCUUGUUUGGCAUCCAGGAAGAAUUAGGUCACCCACACGGAUUGAAAGGAUAUGGACAACGACCAGUCUUUCCGUUGUUUAACGAAAGCGGCAGUUGGAUUCCUCCCAGAAGUCUACCCAAGGAUCCCCAGCGAAAGGGAGCCAUAGUCCGAGGCUCUGGCUGCCUGCCUGUUUGGAGCUUUGAUGGCCUCGAGGCCCCCAGAUGAGACAGGAUUGUUCCCUUCAUCUUAACCCCCUUCGUGGGCGGGAACUGGAGCAGCUCAUUUCACUCAGCUCGCCUCCUGCCACUCCUGGCGGCAGAGCGUGCGAGUGCGGGAACCGGAGCGACCGAAUGCUGGAACCGGCCGGUCACUCCUCUCUGGCGGGAAUAGGCUCUGUGCGGGCCUCACAGCAGCGUCCAAGCCCUGGCCUCUCGGCACCGGGGUACCUGUCCGGCGUCCAGGAAGAAUUAGGUCAUAUGAACGGAUUGAAGAGUAGUGUAUGCGGAAGAUUUGAUUGAGUGGUGGCUCCUGGUGGGAUGGGUACUGGAAAGCAGACGGUGAAAGAGGGUCAUCUUUCCCUGAAGCCGCACCAUCUGAAGUUAGCUGCGUCUAUCUGUAGUCUUCAACACUCUUGCUGCUUCUCUGCUCACCGCUCAGCCGCUUGUGUUGCUCUGCCAGCUGAAGUCUUUUUUAUGGCCACAGGAUAGGGGCGUGGCAGGCCAAAAAAACAACAUUUGGGCAGAAAAACAGGGUCAGCUGUUUUCAAGGCCGUGAUUCCAGGCUUAAGGGUGGGGUUUAGCUGGGAACCCAGCCAUUCUGUAUCAGUGAUAGUUGCACAACUAUAAAUAUACUAACAACCAUU